AACGCGAAGAACCUUACCUGGGCUCGAAAUGUACAGGACAGCGGUAGAAAUACCGUCUCCCAGCAAUGGGUCUGUAUAUAGGUGCUGCAUGGCUGUCGUCAGCUCGUGUCGUGAGAUGUUGGGUUAAGUCCCGCAACGAGCGCAACCCUUACCUCUAGUUGCCACCACGCAAGUGGGGAACUCUAGCGGAACCGCCUCGGAUAACGGGGAGGAAGGUGGGGAUGACGUCAAGUCCUCAUGGCCUUUAUGUCCAGGGCUACACACGUGCUACAAUGGCCGGUACAAACCGCUGCAACCCCGCGAGGGUGAGCUAAUCGGAAAAAGCCGGCCUCAGUUCGGAUUGGAGUCUGCAACUCGACUCCAUGAAGCUGGAAUCGCUAGUAAUCGUGGAUCAGCAUGCCACGGUGAAUACGUUCCCGGGCCUUGUACACACCGAGACGAC
rnacentral:rRNA from 1 species